GGUUAAGCGACUAAGCGUACACGGUGGAUGCCUAGGCAAUCAGAGGCGAUGAAGGACGUGCUAAUCUGCGAUAAGCGUCGGUAAGGUGAUAUGAACCGUUACAACCGACGAUUUCCGAAUGGGGAAACCCAGUGCAAUUCGUUGCACUAUCGUUUGAUGAAUACAUAGUCAAACGAAGCGAACCGGGGGAACUGAAACAUCUCAGUACCCCGAGGAAAAGAAAUCAACC
rnacentral:rRNA from 1 species